UGGGGAAUAUUGGACAAUGGGCGCAAGCCUGAUCCAGCCAUGCCGCGUGAGUGAUGAAGGCCUUAGGGUUGUAAAGCUCUUUUGUCCGGGAAGAUAAUGACUGUACCGGAAGAAUAAGCCCCGGCUAACUUCGUGCCAGCAGCCGCGGUAAUACGAAGGGGGCUAGCGUUGUUCGGAAUCACUGGGCGUAAAGCGCACGUAGGCGGACUUUUAAGUCAGAGGUGAAAGCCUGGAGCUCAACUCCAGAACUGCCUUUGAUACUGGGAGUCUCGAGUUCGGAAGAGGUUGGUGGAACUGCGAGUGUAGAGGUGAAAUUCGUAGAUAUUCGCAAGAACACCAGUGGCGAAGGCGGCCAACUGGUCCGAUACUGACGCUGAGGUGCGAAAGCGUGGGGAGCAAACAGG
rnacentral:rRNA from 2 species